rnacentral:misc_RNA from 1 species
GAUGAAGAACGUAGCGAAAUGCGAUACUUGGUGUGAAUUGCAGAAUCCCGUGAACCUUCGAGUCUUUGAACGCAAGUUGCGCCCGAAGCCAUUAGGCCGAGGGCACGCCUGCCUGGGCGUCACACGUCGUUGCCCCCCCAUCUACUCCUUCGGGAUUGCGGGGGGCGGAUGAUGGCCUCCCGUGCGCCUCGCCGCGCGGUUGGCAUAAAUGCCAAGUCCUCGGCGACGCACGCCACGACAAUCGGUGGUUGCGAAACCUCGGUUGCCCGUCGUGUGCGGUCGUCGCGCAUCGAGGGCUCGAAAAAAUUGCCGGGUUCCGGCUCGGCUUUCAACGCGACCCCAGGUCAGGCGGGGUUACCCGCUGAAUUUAAGCAUGUCAAUAAGCGGAGGA